GCAGGCUCCAUGCACCGGGAGCCCGACGUGGGACUCGAUCCAGGGUCUCCCGGAUCGCGCCCUGGGCCAAAGGCAGGCGCCAAACCACUGCGCCACCCAGGGAUCCCUGACCCAAGAGUUUCAAAGUCAUUAAUACACCCAGCGGUCCCCUCUCCUCCUCCAGAUGGGGUUGAGAAUCUCCUGUUGUGCAACACUUUCUUUCUUUCAAUUUGAAGAAUCUUGUAACUGAAGCUCAGAUUUAGAAGAAUAAAUUUUAUAUCACUUUUUUUUUUUUUUCCGUGACUGGUGGAAAGUUUGGGAUACAGACUGCUGGUUAAAAUUUGAGGAUGUGACGGGGUCAAAUUGUGCAUUUUCUGAUGGCUCAGUUCCUAUUUAUAGUACGACAAGGACUUUCCUUCACUGCGAGCCAAGGUGGGAUUUCCAUGAUUGACUAACGGGAAGUAAUUCGUUUCUUGCUGCCUUUCUCUUAUUCCUGAACUCUCUUUUUGUCCUGUGCUCUCUCUUCCCGUUCAGUUCCAAUUAUGACCUUUCUCUGUCAAGGACAUUUCUUGUGAUUAAGAGCUUAUAUCUGCUGCUUUCCAACAGAAGCCUAUCCAAAUAGCUGUUUGGAUAGAUCUAGGACAGAUCAAAAUGCUAAAAAUAGCCUGGUUUUCCUUUCCUCUGGAUGGAAACCUAUGGAAGAGUUUUAAUGGAUGACAUCUGACUUGUUCUCAUUAUUACAGAUUAUCCAGACCUGAGUGCUCGUCCUCGAGAAGUCUAGAUCUUUUUGGUAUUAAAGAAAACAUGAAAAGCUUGAGCAAACUACCUAGCUCCCCCUAAUCCUUUCUGUUUUACACAGAUUGAAGAUAGCUGGCCAUCAGGAAAACACACAGGGAAACACGAGGGACUUUGAUCCUGAGAGGGGCUCUGAGUCUUCGUGCAAUGGGUGGGAUACCAAUAAGAAUGUCUUGUGUUAAGCCAGUUUCAUUCUGGGUGAGGUCUAUACUUGAAGUUCCUCUGCUAACCUGACUCUGUUUGCAGGUGGGGCAGGAGGAUGGAGAACCUUGACCAACAGCCCGCCCACCUUGGGUCCCUUUCUGUAACCACAAAGGCUACGGUGGAAGUGCAACUGUAGGUCUUGUGGAAGUGAAAACUGCAGUGGUACCCCCAGUGUUUAUUUUGGGGCUUCUGACUUGGGACUCUACUCACCUAUCUGAAGGGCUGGCUUGAUGUGGGCUUAUUUUGGACUUUUCUUUAUAGGACUCAAAAGCCUUCGUUUGUAACCUUAUCUUAGUUAGUAAGAUCUAUCGGUGUUAGAAGCAAAGAUAUCUUCAACUAUAGUUUUCCCAACCUUGCAUUUUUUUUUGCCCCACAUUCUGUGGUCACCGGUAGAACUGCCCUGAGUUCUGGUCUUAUUACCAGAAUGUAGCCUGUGUCUAAAAACCGGAGUCCAGGAAUGCCUCAUCUGGUGGGUUUGGACUGCUGCAUCCCCAGAGGUAAAUCAAAACACAGACAAUAACAACUGCCCCCCUCGUUCCCUUAUCCUUCAUAAGGGCAGAAACUGGACUUUUUUCCCCAAAUUUUUUAUUUAAAUUCAAUUUGCCAACAUAUAGUAUAACACCCAGUGUUCAGUCCGUCAAGUGCCCUACUUAGUACCUGUUACCUAGUCACCCCAUCCCUCCCACCUUCUGCAACCCUUUGUUUGUUUCCCAGAGUUUAGAGUCUCUCAUGGUUUGUCUUCCUCUCUAAUUUUCAGAAAUUGAACUUAAAGCAGCUGAAAGCACUUAAAAGUAUUUAACUUCUGUUUUUUUUAAUUGAUUUUUAAAUGAUCUGUUCUGAGGUCCAGUUAGAACAUAAUGUAGAAUUUGACUAGAGAAAAACCAGUGUGACUUGUGUGACCUGCUUCAACCACUUCAGGUGUAACUGUGGUGAUACCACUUUCAAGUUUCCAGGCAAUUUAUUGCACAUGCACAUGCCCUUGUGGGACCUGCCUCUUGAGGGUAUCCUCCAAAAUGUGUGUAAAUUUGGAAGAAGGGAUAACUUAGUCCAAAGAUGUUCAGCUAAUUAUGCUUCUAAAUGUAGCCAUAGAAGGAAUUGGAGAGUUGCUCAAUCCCCACUAUUGCACCUGUCCCUUACUAUCACCUGGUAUCCCUGCUUCAGAGCCCUAUUGACGCUUGUCCAUUAUGUGUUAUGUCCUAUGUUCUCCACCCUAUACAGGCUGGGGUGAUGGUCCACUCGGGGUACAGUUCUAGUUCACAAGGGUAGACUUAGCCAGAUUUUCCCUGGAACAGGACACAGUGCCUGGGCGCUGUGCUCUGAGGAGUUACCAGCACAGGCUACGCCAGAACGAUCCUCCCCAACAAGGCUUAGACCUCAUAUUGAGCCCCAGUCAACAAAUAGACUCCCAAUGACUUGCUAGGUGAAUUCUGCUUUGGGACUCUUGAUAUCUUCUCUUACAGUCCUUGGGUCAGGGUUACCAUUGUUCUUCCUGACUUAAUUUUGAACGUCUGACUCUCUUGUUUCUUCCUCAAAAGGCUUUGGGAUUUUUCCCUGUGUCUCUUAGGCUGUCUUUAGUGGCCAGUUCUUCAUACCAAGUGGAAGGAGGUGUUUGCUUUUGUUCAAACACAAAAUGUCCAUUAGGUUCCAAAAGAGACCCUCAAGUGAAGCAUCAUUGAACAAAGAUGUUUUCUGAAGUGGAUUUGUAUCACACACAAAGAAGGAUGUGUGUGUCUGUGGUGAAUAAUGGGGGGUUGGGUGGGUAGGAAAUAUUUUUGAUAUUCAGUUGCAACCUAUUCAAAACCACACUGAUAAUGGUUUUCAUACAGAGCUCAUGAUCUCUGGGCUGUGGACACCUAAUCUCUCUACAAACUCUUCAGUAUCAGAAAGCCUCGCAAGUUAUUUGUUGGAGUCAUGAUCUAGAACAGCUUUCCAAGGAUGCACAGGCCUACAAAACCUUGUGUCUGCUACCACUGGGAUGGGUCUGGAGAAGAGAAGAUGGUUGGACAUGACCAGUGAGGAUUUUGGAGAAUACCAAGUCACAAAACUGACCCAACCCUGAGCCUCAUGGAACCACAUUCUGGAACCACAGAAUCUGGAGGUGGAAGAGACAAAAUGUAGGAAUUGCUUUUGCAACAUACCAGGAAAAUAGUCCUUCCAAAUUCUGUUCAACAGCCUCAGGUAGCAUCAGCCUGAUUGCUCGCCUGUCACUGUCCCUGGAUGGUGUCUCAGGCUGGCCUGAGGCUGCUUUCUGGGUGGGGAGGGCUUCAUGGAGAGUUCUGAGAAGACAGAAUGUUCUCUCCUCAUUCCUCAGACUCUCAAGUCAACUUCACAAAUCAAUUUCAAGUCACCGAACCUCUCUGCACCUUAGUGCCUUCAACUAUCACGUGGUGGCACAAGCAUGGGCUCAACACCUGGAACGGUGCCCCCCCAGAGCUCAUCCUCCAGAGGUGAGAAUCACUGUGAUUGGUAUUAUUAUCCUGAUCUCUCUUUUAGCCUCCACCUAGCUCCUUGGCUGUAGGCACAGACUGAGUCCAGUAGUGCUCACUGGUCCCCAGACAUACCAUGCACCUGCAAGUCUCCCCCCGGGUUUGGGCACCUUUCUCCCCAGGGGAGGCUCUGGAAUACCCUCCUUCCUAGCCUGGAACCCACACUGCACCCCCUCCCACCCUCUUGGAGAACUCUGACUCACCUGAAGGAACUCAGCUCCAACCCGUUGGCCCAGGGCACCCGGCCUCAGCGUGGGAGCCCAAUGACUGUGGUGUGUGUCCAGCUUUUUUUUUUUUUUGGAAUAUUUAUGUAAACAUCUGUGAGCCUCAGCAUUCUUACUCUUAAACCAAAGGAAAUGUUGUUGUGAACAUGAAAUAAGGCGACCUCCUGCAGCUGUGUGUCGGGUAACAAGUGUGCUUGGAAUGCCAGCCAUAUACCCCUUCAAACCCGUCUUUCCUGGUGGUCCUCACUGCAGCUUGGGAGGCACGGAUGGCUACAGGACCUUCCUGUGUACUACCUCAGGUGAGAGAGCAAGAGCAGAAAGAAGAGAACAAAGAGUGGUCCCAUUUGGCUGCCCAGACCACUCUCCAGAGGAUGCACCCACACCACUUUGGUGAGAGCCUGGCUCCUAAGGCUCAUAAUGGAUAUGUUUGCUGGACGUCACCUUCUGCGGCCAGGAACUGCCUCGCUCAAGUUUCCAGGUACCCGGUCCCUCCAAAAUCCUGGAGGAACUUCCGUGCUGGGGCAGCCCCAUGAGAAGAAGUGAGGGAAUCCGUGGUGUGGACCGCAGCAGGCACCUGGGGCUCUACUCAGACCUCUCUUCCGGGCCAGGGCACUCACCACUCGCUGCCUCGCCGGGAACUGCCCUCGAUCACAGGGAAGCACCCCACUCGGGGCUCCCUCACCUCUUGAGCACGUUCCAUGUCCAGGAACAUACAAGAAAACCCAGCUCUUCUUUUAUUCUCCUUCUGCCCGGGUCCUGCUGACGCUCCCACUUGGAAGUGGAGGGUGCACGGAGGGAGCAUUCGGUGGGAACCUGGGACCUUGGGGCACGAGGAGAUGGAUGCUGGUUGAGUCUUGCAGCUGGUUCACCUCUUAAUUUUGGAGAACCCCAAACUUGGCCCUUGGUCUGCUUCUCUUCCCAUCCACACUUCUGAGAAGAUCUCACUGAGUUUUCCAUUGCCAUCUUUAAGCUGAUGACUUCCAAUUAAUAUUUCCCGUCUUGGACUCACCUCUGAGCUCCAGGUUUGAAUCUGCACCCAAUCUGUCUACCUUGUCCAUCCGACAACUCCCUUGGAGGUUUAAUAAUGAUUUCAAGUUUGCUAUAGUCACAAAACACUCUUUUAUUUCUCCCCUAAACCUGUUUUUGUUGUUCCCAAGACUCUUUUAGUAAAUGGCUCUACCGUCUGUUUUGUUGUCCAGAUCAAAAACCCAAGAGUCAUUCGGGAGUCUUCUCUAUUUUAGCCCCUCCCACGACUAACCGAAUGGCGACACAUUCCCGCCAUCAUCAUUCUAUUCCAGACUCCACCGUGGCCAGCCCUGGGCUUGGGAAGUAGCGUCCUCACUAGUCCACUCCAUCCCUCUCCCUCUCUGGUCUACCUUCCACCUAGGAGCCAAUUUGCAAAACAACAUUUUUAUUACAAAGUAUUUCAAGCAAUCCAAAAAACAGAACAAUAAAAUGGAUGUCCAGGUGGUCCCCGCCCAGGCAUGACCAUGUUAACAUUUUGCUUCAUAUAUUUUUUCAAGAAGUGAAAGGUCAUAUGUUUGUGAAAUCUUCUGUUUACCCCUCUUUCGUCUGUUCCCCUUCCUUGUUCCACGUCCUGGACGACACUGCCAUCCUGCAAACGUCGCGUGCCCUUCCUCCUGUGCAUCUAUAUUGUACCACGUAUAUGUAUUCAUAAAUGAUGAGUCGUAUGGUGUGAUGUGUCUCUAUGUUUUACCGAAGUGUCUUCCAUUUUACAAAAUGUUUCUGUUGCUUGACUUUUUUACUGUUUUAUUGGAAAUGUAUUCAUGUUUAGAGGCAUAGAUUUAGUUCAUUCAUUUUAUUUAUUUAUUUUAAGGUUUUACUUAUUUAUUUAGAGAGAGCACCCCCAGGAGGAGCGGCACUGGGAGAGGCAGGGAGAGAGUCUCAAACAGACUUUGUGCUGAGUGCAGAGCUGACAUGAGGCUCAAUCUCAUAACUCUGAGAUCAUGAUCUGAGCUGAAAUCAAGAGUUGGAUGCUUAACCGACUGAGCCACCCAGGUACCUCAGUUCAUUGAUUUUAAUAAGAGUUUAAUAAUAACUAAUUCAAUAAAAUAAGCAUAGGUAUAUCGUUAUAUGAACAUAGCACAAUAAGGCAAAUUGUUUUCCUAUUAUUAGGGAUGCACUAACAAAAUUUUGCUAGUGAACGACUACAACAGUGAACAUCUAUGUGCAUAGGUCUUUUCACAUGUGUAUGAAAAAUUGUUGUAUAAAAGUUGUAAAUAUUAAAGUAGGUCAGCUUAUUGAUCUUUUUGUCAAAUGUGAGUGCUUUUGUAACUUCAGAAAUCUCUUUCCAAUGUUAUGAAGAGAAUCAUUAUAUUUUUCUCCAGAA